CAGGCCUAACACAUGCAAGUCGAACGGAUGUAGCAAUACAUUAGUGGCGCACGGGUGCGUAACACGUAACGAACCUACCCACAACUGGGGGAUAGCCCGCCGAAAGGCGGAUUAAUACCGCAUAACCCACUUCUCCGGCAUCGGAGGUUUGGUAAAGAUUUAUUGGUUGUGGAUGGGGUUGCGGGUCAUUAGCUAGUUGGGUGGGUAACGGCUGCCCAAGGCGACGAUGACUAGGGGAGCUGAGAGGCUGGUCCCCCACACGGGCACUGAGAUACGGGUCCGACUCCUACGGGAGGCAGCAGUAGGGAAUAUUGGGCAAUGGGCGAGAGCCUGACCCAGCCAUGCCGCGUGCAGGAAGAAGGCUUUCUGAGUCGUAAACUGCUUUUGACAGGGAAGAAUAAGCACUACGUGUAGUGCGAUGACGGUACCUGCAGAAUAAGCACCGGCUAACUCCGUGCCAGCAGCCGCGGUAAU
rnacentral:rRNA from 1 species